UACAGAGGUCUCAAGCGUUGUUCGGAUUCAUUGGGCGUAAAGGGUGCGUAGGUGGCGGGGCAAGUCUGGUGUGAAAUCCCGGGGCUCAACCCUGGAACUGCACUGGAUACUGCUUUGCUAGAGUACUGGAGAGGGAACUGGAAUUUACGGUGUAGCAGUGAAAUGCGUAGAUAUCGUAAGGAAGACCAGUGGCGAAGGCGAGUUCCUGGACAGUUACUGACACUGAGGCACGAAGGCCAGGGGAGCAAACGGG
rnacentral:rRNA from 1 species